GGAAGUAAAAAGUCGUAACAAGGUUUCCGUAGGUGAACCUGCGGAAGGAUCAUUAAAGAGUAAGGGUGCUCAGCGCCCGACCUCCAACCCUUUGUUGUUAAAACUACCUUGUUGCUUUGGCGGGACCGCUCGGUCUCGAGCCGCUGGGGAUUCGUCCCAGGCGAGCGCCCGCCAGAGUUAAACCAAACUCUUGUUAUUUAACCGGUCGUCUGAGUUAAAAUUUUGAAUAAAUCAAAACUUUCAACAACGGAUCUCUUGGUUCUCGCAUCGAUGAAGAACGCAGCGAAAUGCGAUAAGUAAUGUGAAUUGCAGAAUUCAGUGAAUCAUCGAAUCUUUGAACGCACAUUGCGCCCCUUGGUAUUCCGAGGGGCAUGCCUGUUCGAGCGUCAUUACACCACUCAAGCUAUGCUUGGUAUUGGGCGUCGUCCUUAGUUGGGCGCGCCUUAAAGACCUCGGCGAGGCCACUCCGGCUUUAGGCGUAGUAGAAUUUAUUCGAACGUCUGUCAAAGGAGAGGAACUCUGCCGACUGAAACCUUUAUUUUUCUAGGUUGACCUCGGAUCA
rnacentral:misc_RNA from 2 species